ACCUAUCAGACGACUCCACUGUCCUCCGGCGGUUCUCUGAAGGGGCCAGUCGAUGCCAGAGUCCAGCCCCACGGAGUGUCUCUUUGGACAGGCUGCUGGAUCACCAGAGCCCCAGGCUUCAGCAGGCCUCCAGGAUACAACAUGGAGGAUCUCCCCAGAGACAGAGCAUGGAGCAGGGCUGUUUGGCUGCUCUUACUCCCCCUGGUCCGGUAGACUACACUGGACAGGCUGCCAGGCCCGGUCUCUACUCUCCCCCUGGUCCGGUCGACUACACUGGACAGGCUGCCGGGCCCGGUCUCUACUCUCCCCCUGGUCCGGUAGACUACACUGGGCAGGCUGCCAGGCCCGGUCUCUACUCUCCCUCUGGUCCGGUAGACUACACUGGGCAGGCUGCCGGGUCCGGUCUCUACUCUCCCUCUGGUCCGGUAGACUACACUGGACAGGCUGCCGGGCCCGGUCUCUACUCUCCCCCUGGUCCGGUAGACUACACUGGGCAGGCUGCCGGGUCCGGUCUCUACUCUCCCUCUGGUCCGGUCGACUACACUGGACAGGCUGCCGGGCCCGGUCUCUACUCUCCCCCUGGUCCGGUAGACUACACUGGGCAGGCUGCCAGGCCCGGUCUCUACUCUCCCUCUGGUCCGGUAGACUACACUGGACAGGCUGCCAGGCCCGGUCUCUACUCUCCCUCUGGUCCGGUAGACUACACUGGGCAGGCUGCCAGGCCCGGUCUCUACUCUCCCCCUGGUCCGGUCGACUACACUGGACAGGCUGCCAGGCCCGGUCUCUACUCUCCCCCUGGUCCGGUAAACUACACUGGACAGGCUGCCGGGCCCGGUCUCUACUCUGGUCUUUACAGCCCAUCUCCCCCAGGGUCAGACCUGCAGACAGGCACCAGAUCCAACUCCAUCAUCGCUACACAGAGCUCCAGACUAGGGCUUAGUGACUGCCACUCUGUGCCCAGGACUCUGUCACCUCAGCCUGGGGUGGCAGAGCUCUCCUCCUGCCUGAGAGGACUCCUGGACCUGGUGGAUCAGCAAUGUGCUGGCACACGCUCCCUCCACCUCAACCCCGACUUCCUGGGCCAGGCCUACGACCUGCUCUCUGCCCUGGGAUCACCUCCUGCUACUUCCUGUCUGAGAGAGAGUGAAGAAAACAGAGAAGGACAGAACAGAGGAGGACAAGAACAGAGUGAGAGUCAUGUUGAUGUGACUCCACAGUGCAGUGAGGUAGCUCUCCUGAAGAGGAAGCUGACCGUCACACAACGGCAGCUGGUUAGUACCUCAACAGCUGGUUAGUACCUCAACGGCAGCUGGUUAGUACCUCAACAGCUGGUUAGUACCUCAACGGCAGCUGGUUAGUACCUCAACAGCUGGUUAGUACCUCAACGGCAGCUGGUUAGUACCUCAACAGCUGGUUAGUACCUCAACGGCAGCUGGUUAGUAUCUCAACAGCAGCUGGUUAGUACCUCAACGGCAGCUGGUUAGUACCUCAACGGCAGCUGGUUAGUACCUCAACAGCUGGUUAGUACCUCAACGGCAGCUGGUUAGUAUCUCAACAGCAGCUGGUUAGUACCUCAACAGCAGCUGGUUAGUACCUCAACAGCAGCUGGUUAGUACCACAACAGCAGCUGGUUAGUACCUCAACAGCAGCUGGUUAGUACCUCAACAGCAGCUGGUUAGUACCUCAUCGGCAGCUGGUUAGUACCUCAACGGCAGCUGGUUAGUACCUCAACGGCAGCUGGUUAGUACCUCAACAGCAGCUGGUUAGUACCUCAACAGCAGCUGGUUAGUACCACAACAGCAGCUG
rnacentral:lncRNA from 8 species